rnacentral:rRNA from 1 species
AUGGGACCAUUGAAGAGAUACAAAGGAGUUCCUAAGGGUGGGAAUGAUGGCGGAGAGCACGAGCGCAUGCCCUCACCCUAUCCAACCACCCACUUAGCCUCGCCGGCCGUGGGCUUCUCUAGCCCCUGCCAGACAUCCACGUCAUGGGGAGGUCGGAGUCCCUGCGGACUAGACUUCACCGACAGCCCCCUCUCGUCUCCAUCGCCCUCCCCACCUACCGCCGCGGCUUCUCUCAAGGAGGCUCUGCUUGUUGCGCUCGUCGCCUGCACGGCUAACUCUGCUAGUUCCAGCUACCCCCAUCCUGCCGUCCACUCCACCCCUGCCUUCGGAGAUUGCGGCACGCCUGCUCCUUCGUGUGGCUUUCAUGGAGGGCCGCUGCCCGCGGGCAGGGCUCCAGGCCCCUCUGGGCCAUCUCCUGUUGUUGUGUGCACAACAUUUGUGCCUGCCCCCUGGCCUGCUGCCUGGAUGCGCUCCGACCACCCCAUGUAUUUCCUCUCCCUUCUUAAGGAGAGGGCUGAUGGUCGAUGUUUCAAGUGCCUCUCCAACCUCCACCGAGUCCGCGACUGCAGUGCCUCCAAGCCCUCCUGUGUUCUUUGCGGUAUCCCAGGCCACAAAGCGAGGCGGUGCACCGCGGCUCCCCGGCAGCCCGCCCAUAGCCGUCUGGCAUUUCCCCCUGACCACCCCAACUAA